rnacentral:misc_RNA from 1 species
UUAAGUUCAGCGGGUAGUCCUACCUGAUUUGAGAUCAAACGUUAAAAAGCUGUCUCUCACAGAGGAGAGACGUUUAUGAGCCACAGCGAACCUCCAUUGCUGAAGGUUACCUGGUGGGGAGACCACAAGCGUAGAUAGUUAUCACACCUGUGACGCCACCAAACACUGGCAAGCUGAUUCGUUUGAGAGGAGCCGGCAAC